GUAUCAAUAGCCAACUGUGAAGUUUUUAUUUCAGUAUCCCCAAUUUUUAUACCAGAUAUCUGAUUGUUCUUACGAAUACUUAUUGCCAGCAGUUCAACGGCCAAAAUAAAUAAAAAAGGAGACAAAGGACACCCUUGUCGAACACCUCUCUCAAUUUUGAAUGGACUAAAGCUAAAUCUAUUAUUAACGACAAGACUAGAUAUUUUUGAGUAUAAAGUUAAGACCCAUUUCCGGAACUUGCUACCAAAAUUAAAACAAACCAAUGCUUUUUGAACAAAAUU
rnacentral:lncRNA from 1 species